AAAAAGGCAAACAAUGAAUUGCCGUGCCAACGUUUGACUGUCCGUCUUAUAUGAAAUUUUUAUAUAAUUAGUAUUUUCAUUGUUGUUAGACGAUAAAACAUGAUUAAUACUUUAUGCGUGACUUAUCUUUUUAAUUUUUUUCAUAAUUUUUUUAAAUAAGACGGACGGUCAAACGUUGGACACAGANNNN
rfam:Oryza meridionalis cultivar OR44 (W2112) chromosome 2, whole genome shotgun sequence.